GACGAACGCUGGCGGCGUGCUUAACACAUGCAAGUCGAGCGGUAAGGCCCUUUCGGGGGUACACGAGCGGCGAACGGGUGAGUAACACGUGGGUGACCUGCCCUCAGCUCUGGGAUAAGCCUGGGAAACCGGGUCUAAUACUGGAUAUGACUCCAUGACGCAUGUUGUGGGGUGGAAAGCCUUGUGCGGCUGAGGAUGGGCCCGCGGCCUAUCAGCUUGUUGGUGGGGNGAUGGCCCACCAAGGCGACGACGGGUAGCCGGCCUGAGAGGGCGACCGGCCACACUGGGACUGAGACACGGCCCAGACUCCUACGGGAGGCAGCAGUGGGGAAUCUUGCGCAAUGGGCGAAAGCCUGACGCAGCGACGCCGCGUGAGGGAUGACGGCCUGG
rnacentral:rRNA from 1 species